UUGGCGCCUCCAACGAAUUCAAGCAAUGGGAGCACUGCAUUACAAGUAUCGAAUCUUCAAAUUAGUUGUUCCCAUUCAGAAUCAAAUUUCUUUCCAAUAUCUAGUUUCUUUACCAUGUUUAACUCCUCCGCCAGUUUGGAUCAUUUAGAUCUAUAUAUGACUAAAAUUGUUAGCCUUCCCACGAGCAUCAAAGAAUUCGUUGCGCUAGCUCAACUUUUCCAUUAUUGUGGAAGGUAUGUAAGUGUGAUCUCAUUUUUAUACAAGAAUGAAGUAAGUCUCCCCUGUUCCUUUGAUUUUCAAGUAAUAUUUAAUUUCCACCUCUCUGCGUAUUAUAAUUUUUUCCAUUGUAAAUUUAAUUUUUGUUUCUUGGAUGAUGAUUUUACUUAUAGCCAUUACAUAGUUGAUGCCAUGGUGCUUCAUAACCAUUCUGCGUGAAGAUGGUUGUUUUGGCGGAAUCUUCAAUUGUUGUUUUCUAUUCCCCUGUUGUGUCAGCAAACAAACUAUGUAUGGAGAGAUGCAUGCGCAAUUCAAUUAAUGAUAACCCCAAGUAAAAGAAUGGGAAAUUUCAUCAAAUGAAGAACUGCGCUUAUGGCCGCCACCUCCAUUGCCAGCACUAGAAUAUUUGAAUCUCAGCAAUUGUGUCCUAUCAAAGUCUGACUUCUUUACAGCAUUUCAUUUCUCAUCCACUUUGGGAAUGUUAGAACUGUCAAGGAGUGAUAAUGUUAUCCUUCCUGCAAGCAUCAAAAGAUUUGUUGGAUUGAGGUGCCUUAUGACAUGAUCAUUGGUUAAGGGACAACUUGAGGACGCACUUUCAGGUGGAAUUAUAUUUCCGGGGAAUAGGAUUCCAGACUGGUUUAGCAAAGAUGGAAAGUUUCAAAGAAAGAGGCAUUCUUCGACUUGGUUGGGAUAUCUGUUGAAAAUUUAAAUGGAUGAUCCGUACUCCAAACUUUGUGUCUGAUGUUCCACACAACAUAUUAGCUCCUUGUUCCUCCACGUAUUGAUCACUUCUAGCUAUCAGCUAUGACCUUUGCUUAAAGCAAUAUUGACUUCUUGUUUGAGAUGUCUCAUACCAUGUUGAUAACAAUUUAUAUUUUAGUAUAAUGACUUUAUCAUAGACCUAUAUAUACUCUAGCAAUGAAAUCUGAUCUUUAAGACUUAAUCUGGCUUUAUUAUAUAUACUCUAGUAUAAUGACUUUAUCAUAGCCCUAUUCUAUGCCCCAAGAACUUGGUGAUGCUCGAUAUAACAUAUUCCUUCACAUACUGACUUCUGUGACAUUGGCUUAAAGCAAUAUUGACUUGUUGGAGAUAGAACUACACACACUCUUCAAUGAAAUAAAAUUCCCUUAAUCUACAGAGGUUGCAUGUGUAUUUGCAGUAUUGCUCAUGUUGGAUGAGAAAAAACACAACCACAUUGAUGCAAAGAAUAUUAUUGCUC